rnacentral:rRNA from 1 species
GCCAGACUCCUACGGGAGGCAGCAGUGGGGAAUAUUGCACAAUGGGGGGAACCCUGAUGCAGCGACGCCGCGUGGGUGAAGGAGUACUUCGGUACGUAAAGCCCUAUCAGCAGGAAAGAAAAUGACGGUACCUGACUAAGAAGCCCCGGCUAACUACGUGCCAGCAGCCGCGGUAAUACGUAGGGGGCAAGCGUUAUCCGGAUUUACUGGGUGUAAAGGGAGCGUAGACGGCAGUGCAAGUCCGGAGUGAAAGCCCGGGGCCCAACCCCGGGACUGCCCUUGGAACUGUGCGGCUAGAGUGCGGGAGGGGCAGGCGGAAUUCCUGGUGUAGCGGUGAAAUGCGUAGAUAUCAGGAGGAACACCGGCGGCGAAGGCGGCCUGCUGGACUGCGACUGACGUUGAGGCUCGAAAGCGUGGGGAGCGAACAGGAUUAGAUACCCCAGUACG